UAAACACAACUGAAAAUUGGCACAUUUUGAGCCACUGACAGGCAAUGGAAUCGAAUCGCAUAAGAAGCUGCCGAUCAAAAUCAAAUUAGAGCAAAUGCGAGGCACUUAUAGGAAAUGCGCACUGCAAGUCACAGGAAACAGGAAAGCGCGGAGGCUGGCAAAAUCAAAUAACAAAAUCUGAUUGAAUUGAGACUGAGAGACAGAAAGGAAGCCCGAAGGAGAGUGGCAGAGAGAGAGAGAGCGCGACAAAAAUAGGAGUGAAGCAAAAGAGCGGGUGCUUCUAAGAUGCAGACAACGAGCAACCCAUAUAAAGAGGCACCGCUGGAACCAACGGCGUUGUCCACACUGGCGACGAAUUUAAUCAUCUGCCUUUACUGUUGGUCCCGUUGUUGUUCAUGUUAUUGUUGUUGUUGCUGUGUGCGCGAAUGUGCACAUCAAAAACUAAACACGUCAAAACUGAGACAAAGACAAAGACGGCGACAGAAACACGCAUUUUGCGCCCUACGCCUUUCGGCACGUCAGCAUCAAAGCGUGUUAUAAUUUCAAAAUUAUGCAAAGCUCUGGUAAACGUGGACGUGAACUCAUUCCGGCGUGUUUAGUGCCGGAUAUGAAGAAGAAGACCAUGAAAAGAGCCCAAUACUCGCACACAGUUUUCAAGUGCCAGGGCUGCAAUUGACAUGGUGGUGAACUUUGGCAACAGGGCGUAUUAUAAUCAAUAAACAUUCAAGAUAUGUAACUCUAACACGUUUAUUUUAGCCAAAAAUUUAUUAACUGAUCAGAUAUACUUCAUUAAUUACACUAUGUUAAGCC